rnacentral:lncRNA from 1 species
UGAACCGAUUUUUUGUCUAUGUGAACAUAGAAGUAAUUUUCUUGCACUUGAUCUGUAAAAUAGGACAGAGAUACAACCGCACCUGGCCCUUGCACCAUCUGGCAUCUUUUGGCCGUCUUCUGCCGCUGGCGCACAAUCCAAUGAACCAUUUUUUUUUUUGUUCAUACAGAAUCCAAUGAGCUAAGUUGGUGUAGCAAUCCAAUCCAAUGAACUAGAUAAGAGUUAGUGCUAGAUGCAGCAAUUCUAUUUCAGUUUCAGACUGGGCACAGCCGCACAGGGCAACUAAUAUAAUGUGUCAAAUGGAGCUAAAGCAUCGAAACUAGGUGGACAUUCGCAAGACAAGGCAAGAUUUAGAAUACUCAGAUUAUACAUUUUGGCAUCUCUGGAUUGAAAUUCUUGUGUACUGUAUGUCGCGAGGAACACGGAACUCCGUUGCGUUUGUGCUAAUCAGGAAUUACAGGCAGAGUGGACAGCAGGAAAAUGAGAAAAAGAAUUAUAUAUAGCAGGAGCCCCGCACCACACAAGUCACAAGGGCUCAGGCGAGGGCUUCGGCACCGGCGACGAUCUCGAGGAUCUCCCCGGUGAUCUUGGCCUGGCGCUGUCGGUUGUAGGCGAUGGAGAGGUUCUUGGCGAGCUCGAUGGCGUUGUCGGUGGCGCUGCUCAUGGCGCUCAUCCGGGCGGCGAGCUCGCUGGCGAGCGACUCCUGCAGGGCACGGAGGAUCUGGCUGUUGAGGUAGAGCGGGAGCAGCGCGUCGAGGAUCUGCACGGGGUCCUGCUCGAACUGCACCACGGGGGAGAAGGGCUGCGUCUCGAUCUUCACCUUCUCGCGCUCCACGGUGAGCUUGCCCUCCUUGGUGGUGAGGCGGAAGAGCUCGUCCUCGGUGGCGUCCACGCAGACGCCGUUGAUGUCGCAGAUCUCGCCCUUGGGGGACAUGGGGAGCAGCGUCUGGAUGAUGGGGUCGGAGCGCACCAGCGACACGAACUUGGAGUAGAGCAGCUCCACCUUGUCCACCUCCUCCGAGACGAAGAGCGAGUAGACGAGGUCGCAGAUGGACUGCGAGUCCUUGACGGUGGGCACGCCGUUCACCUCCAGGUCCCGCUCCAGCGGGAUGUAGGGGCGGCGCUGGAAGUAGGCGUUGCCUUUCUUCCCCACGCUGAUGACGCUGUACUGGAGGCCCAGCUGCUUGAGCUCCUCGAUGCGGGCCUCCGCCUUCUUGAGCACGUUGUUGUUGAAGCUCCCGCAGAGGCCGCGCUCGCCGGUCAGGACCACGAGCGCCACCUUCUUGACGGGGCGGGUGCGGGUGAGGGGCAGGUCGAUGUCCUCCGUCUGGAUCUCCUGGUUCAUGUUGUAGAGCACCUCAACCAGCGCCUCCGAGAAGGGGCGGGAGGAGACGACGGCCUCCUGCGCGCGCCGGACCUUGGCGGCGGCCACCAGCUUCAUGGCCUCCGUGAUCUUCUGCGUGUUCUUGACGGAGUCGAUGCGGGUGCGGAGCUCGCGGAGGGAGCACCGCACCACGAGGCCCGAGCGCGGGGCGGAGCUUCCGCGCCGCUGGGUGGUGGAGGCGCUGCUGGCGAGCGCCGAGGAGGACCAGGCGGUGGAGAGGUGGGAGCACGACAUGGCUGCUGCUGCUGGUCCGCGGCGACGGGGAUCACCAGCGGGCGGCGGCGCGCGGGGGGGAAGCAGAAGAGACAGACAGGGGCGGGGACGGAACGGGAGGGAGGGAAAUGGGUUUGGAAGGAUUGGGUUUGGGUGGAGAGGUGAGCACGGUGGGGUAUUCAAGCCGAGCUGAGUGGUGGAGGGGCAGUGACGGCGAGAUGGGGAGGAUCAUGUGGCUCCGCCGAGCUGGCUGCACCCCCUGCAUACCGCUGACGCUCCACACUUCAUUUUUUGAUGAAUUGUCGGGAAUGAAAAACCAAAAAUAAUGCUAUGGCCUCUAGUUCCACAAAGGAUAGUGGGAUCCUGCUCAGGAUAUCCCACCUUAAACAACAGAUACUCUCUACGACCACAAUUUGGAGGAGCUCUUGCCCAUUUCUACAGGAAUCGAAUUAUUUCCACUGAAAUCCUGAAUAAUUUAUGUGUUCAAAAAGGAACCCAAGUUUAAGGCCUGUCCCGAACACAUCAAUUUCAUCACAAUUCCGAGAUAAAAAUGGAACUUUGAUGAUUCAAUCUGUUGAGUUGAAUUCACUCGUAUAAAAAAACGGCUCACCUAAACUGAUGCAAAGUUCAUGCCAAAAGAAGUAGAGACUGAUGAAAUUGGUAUUUCAAGAUAAAGCAAGGUACUCGAACAAGCACACAGACUGAGUGAUACAUACAAGUACAAAAUAUCAGGAUUAAGGGGAUGCAACCAAUUCUGGGAAGUAAAAGUUGAACCUCAGGGUACAACGACAGCAAUGGUACUGAUGACAUCCGCGUAGCCUAAUCCCUUGCAGAUUGAGCAUCUUUCCUUGGUGGCUUGUAGACACUGAAGUCACCGAAAUCCCGCCGUCCACUGCACCACACAAGAGGACAUACAGAUAGCAGUAAAUAUCUGGUGAUGAAAGGAAAUCUGGACGAAAAACAUCGCGACACAGAAAGAUCUUUUGAAGUCACUGGUACAUGGCUAAAACUUCACAUACAGCUUGGUAAAUUCAAGAAAAGGCAUAUAUGAAUGGCAACUAACCUGUGGUUAAUAUUCCAGCCAGAAGGUAAAUAACGGGGGUGAACAGCUUCAACAAAGAUCUGCCUCCAUCUUUGGCAGAACUGGUUAAUAGCUUCUUCCCCACCAUUUGAAAGCAAAAGUUCCACAACUUGUUUACCGUGAUGCCCAUGACCCAACAGGGAAAUCUUCUUCUCAGCAUUCUUGGAAAUGGCCUGGCUAGAAUUGUCGCGGAUGGAUAAUUCCCUGUCGACAUGGCUGUUUCCAGGAGUGCAGGUGCCUCUUGCUUGCUGCUUGGUAUCUGUCUUGAGUGUCACAGUGUCAUGAUCAAAAGUGGUGUCCUCCAUGCUGACUGGCAAACUUGAGCCAACCUGGCUCAGGGUUAAAUUCUCUAGCUGGUUUUGACUCUCUGUCUCGUCAAACUCCUGUUGACCAUUACUCUCAGUUCCAUCCUCAGGAAAUCGCUCAGAUAAGGAAUGAGAAUUUUCUGAUCCAUGUCCACUGUCUUCUGAGAUGGUAUUGCUGCUGCUCUUUCUAAUAAUAUUUUGAGCCUGAGCUCUGAACGAAUAGCCCUUUUUCUUUUCCAGACGCCUUCGCUCAUGAGGACUCAUACCAACAAGUAAUGCCACCUCGAGAUCUUCAGGAGUCACAUCCCUACCACCAUAAUAUGACUUCACAAUCUGCAAAGAACUGAACUGAUCCAUAACAGAGAUCUAUAGCUAAGAACAAGUACAUAUUUAACAAGGAAAGAAUAUGGACGGGUAGGAUAAAACAGGUAUGUUAAUACGUCAAUGCCAAAGCUCCCGAAACUGUGAAGUACUACAUAUUGAGCCAGAAAUACUAAAAGGAUGCCAUCACCUGCAUUAGCUCUUCACAUCUCUUCAAUGGCAUGGUGGAUCCAUGCCGUAGAAGAGCCAUGGCAGCGGUCCUCAGCUGCAAUGGGGAGACACCUGUUCCAUUCAAUUUAUCUUCAGAUACUGAUGUGCUCGUAAUCAAACUUAUAUCACCCGAGUUCAUUAUCUUUUGCACAAAAAGGGGUAUUCCAAAUUCUUCUGCUAUUCGCCUCUUGUAUUUCUCAGCUGCUGAAUGAGCAAUUUCAUGACAGUCUACACAAAGAAGUACAAUAUCAUGUGAACGAUGGCUCUUCAGAUGUUCUGGAAAAUGCAUCCUGUAGCAUGAUGGUAUUAUUCUGUAUCUAAUAUAAUGGCUCUUUUCUCCACAGCCAACACAAAUAUUUUUCUUGCUCUGAAUAUAGAACUCAUUAUCUUCGUCCUCUGGACGACCUUUAGGUUCAAAGAGAAGCAUGAUUGCUGGAGGACUAUCUUCAAUCAAUUUCGCCAAAUUACGUUGAACAUACCUGGGAAUGGGAUAGAAGAGCUCGUCAGUUUGACAAAAUACCUCUUCAUUCAUGCUACAUGCAUGUAAAUAGUUAAUGGGUGUAUAUUUAAGAGACAAACCAUUCCAAUUUUUUGUGGUCACAGUAGCAAAGUAGUCUUCCAUCACUAGCAUAAAUCCUGCAAUUGUGAUAUACAGGGGACUUGCAGGAGAACUUUUUAAUGAAUAAAUCCCGUGAAGCCUUUUUAUUAGGCGGUGCUGUCAGCAACUUUUCUCCACUUGGAGCAAAAGAAAACAUAUUUGUUUGCUUCAAACUUAGGUGUGUUAUAAGGUUAUAAUUAUAAACUGACAGUCGACAUAAUCCACUUGGAUCUUUAUACUUCUCCAGUAAACUUUUAAAGAUGCCUUCCAUGCUGGUAGUGAUGUCAUCUAGCAGAUAGCAAAGUUCUUCAACAUGAGCGACCACAAGAGGUGACGGUGAUGACAAGGAAGGGUACAUACUUGAAAUGCUUAGGUCAGUUUCUGAUAUGACAGCAAACACCUCUGUUGGGCCUUUUGGAAGACUAACAGCAAGGGCAGCUAUAGCUUGGUCUGACAGAACAUAUCGUAAGCUUUCAUCAUGCAUCCGAGCCUGGAAGGACCCAAAACCCAAGUUAUUAGGAGAUACUAGAAAGGAAGAACAGACCUGCAGCUACAUAACUGCAAAUAUGCAUGACUAUCCUGGUGACCACCAGAUGUCACUCGGGCAAGUUUAGCAAUGGGCACAUGGAAGCAACAAAUGCAUUUCCAGGAAGAACAAAGUGUACAACUUUCUAAGAAAUACUGAAGAUUGUCUGUUUUAACCCUUUAAUAACACGAUGAUGUUCCAAUGUUUGAUCCGGAAUUCAAAGAUUGAUAAAAAUGUUACUACAUCCAGUCAAGAAAAGUUCAUGUUUCAGACAAGUCAGAAACUAGUUUGCUGCUGCUUUCACUUGUCUGAACAUCAAGAUUUGCUGACCGGAGGUAACAACAAAUAAGUAAUUAAAAAGAUUUACUUUGCAGAGGGAGAGGGAGCCAUUUUAAGGGAAAUAGUUUUUUUUUUACUGACCAUUAAGUCCCUCCAUGCACAGAAUUUCCAAACAAGAUCCUGCAGAUGCAGAAGAUUAAAAAAUCAGGAACAGAAAAUACUAAAAUCGUUGGCUGGCAAGCUAACCAGAAGACAUUCUACAAUCAAACAGUGAAUACAUAAAAGAAGCACCUUCACUUCACUAGACUUUUUGGAGUCGAGACCAUGAGUUUGCAAAUUUCGUGAGAGAAUAGAUGCUGCACUGGAAGCUCCAGGAGGACAUUCAAUUUCUUUUGCAUACAGUUGCAUGCAGACCAUAUUUGAGCGAUGACUAGCCUCGAAGAAAAAAUUGAUUUUAUCACUGGAAGUAUCUGAUUAGAUAUUACAGAUGAUCAAAGACUUGAGACAUGUGAUGAAGGCCAAGGGUACCACCGUACCAAUAUGUGAUUUGAUGUUGACAAGAAAAGAGAAAAUAUUUAGGACUAUCCAAAUCUUAUGAGGGUUAAUGUAUCAAUUUCUGCAGUUCAGCAAUAGGAUGUCAUGAGUGCCUCAUCACUGCCAUCUGCCUUUCUUGGUCCCCCUUAAUACUGCUUCCUUUCUUAACUACACAUCAGGAAUAUAUAGAGAUGACACAUUGUGCUUACCAUUCAAAAGCUUAUGUUGACAUUGUGAAAAAAGUUUUUGACACUCAAAAUAAUAAGAAAGUGGCCAUCUAGUUUUCCGCAGGUGAAUAGGAUUGCAUAUGCUUGUUAAUGAAAUACCCCAGCUUACAUAACUCCAUAGUGUACGAUUCAAAGUUCUUUUUCCAUUGAUAGCACAUGCUUCCUAAUUUUAAUUGAUUAUUCACAGUUUACCCAGGAAAAUCCCAAGGCAUGGGUCGAAUAGUGUAAUUUUUAAAAAGGACUCAUCAUUUCCAAGGAUAAUGCAUUUCAUUUCUGAACCCCAGUACUAGCAAGAAGUGUUUCAAGCUGCUAGUGUCUAAGAAUGAAAAACAGCAUCAUCCAACUCAAGAACCAACAAUCCAAAGAACUUUUGUUCUUCAUACCAUGUGAAAUAGUUUAAAAACUUAAUGGAACUAUGACUUCUACACUCUGAGAUAGCAAGUUCAAAUAUAUUAGAUAACUGUGAGGUUACUGAACGGUGAACAAAAAUGAAGCACAAACUAUAGGAAAGGAAAAGCUGAUACAGCACUUAGAACAUACCACAGGCUUUUGCAUGGAGCUCCGAUGCCAAACAAUUUGCAAUGUACAACAGAUAGUGAGCAUCAGUGCGAGCAUACUCAAUCAUUUCGGGAGUCAGAGGACGCAGUCUCCAAUCUUCACGCUGGGGUUUCAAAAUCAAGGUAGGAAGAAACAAAAUGGGAGCGGAUAUCAGGCAAUUGCAAUAUUGGAAUUUUUGAGUUUCCAACAAACUUAUUUUGAAUACCAAAAGAAAUAUGGCUUACAACAUGUAUGUACUUGGUUAUCAUUUUCAAAAGCAUGUCAUCUAUUCAACACCAAACAUAAUGCUCGAUAGCAAGUAAGUUCAAGAAAAUAUCUUUUGUAAAGAAACUUAGAGUUUGCUCAACGGAAGAUAAAUUCAAAGGUGGUGAUCAUGAAUUAUCUUUAUUUGAAUUGAUUAAAACAGCAUGGGAACUAUGCAUUCAUAGAUGCAUGUAAUGACUCCACAUAAUUUAAGAUUUGACAACCAGGCUGUGAAGGAUGUAAAGACCAGUUAUUUGGAAACCAAUCAAAACUAACUGGGUAGGUUGGAGCUAAUGUACGGUGGACAGUUGACCUUAUAAGUUCUCAUGGGUAGUAAGCUACCUUACCUUGUUUAUAUUAAGAUAUAAAUUGAGCAAGUCAGAAUACAAGAUAAACAUAUGUAAGCCAAACAUGCCUUAAAAGUAUGUUUUAGCACUAUGUUUUGAAUAUAAUCUAUAUUUCUAUUCAACAACUGAAAAAAGUGGUAUCCCUGUAGUAAACUCUGACUCCAUGGGACAGCAUGCCAAGCAGACCCUAGAUCUGCUUCUUUGUUUUAUUGUAAUUUACAAUGUGAAAACAUAAUAAAUAGUGUACUCCUCAGUAACCGAAUACACUUUUUUAAGCAUUCUGCCUCAUAUUUCCCGUCCUCUCAUGGAAGCAUGAGUGCAUAAGGUCAACUGGCAUUGGAUAAAUGAGUGGCUUCACUGAACCCGGUACUUUUAAGCUGAUACUGAACGAUUACCUACCUGCAUGGUCUUGUCAGUGGUCACUUCACAAUAUACUUCAAGCAAAUAUGCAAGUGAUUUUUGUGGUUUUGAUAGAGUUUCACAUGCCUGUAAUAAAAUCAGUUGUAAGGCACAAUUAAGAAAAGAUGCACGCAUUCAUAGCAUAGAAAAAACAAACUAAGGAUGUAAAUUCAGAAAUGAAAAAAAAGGACGUUUCACACAAACUUAUCAAAAAAUUGAGUGAGGGGGAAAGAAAUAAAAUUGUUCAAAAACCAAAAGAUUUGUAAGCAUGAUUGUAGCAUGCGAUUAUACGGUGAGCAAAGAUGGUUUUAUAACUAAAAGUUCUGAACUUCUGAUUCUUAACUGCAAUGGCAUUCCACCACAUGAUAUGUUCAUUCACAAAGCUUUUCAUGUUGCAGUUAUGAGGUUGACAUUUCCAUGCUUCAGUAAUAGAAAGUAUAAUCAAUUAUCUGACUGAAAUCUAUUAUAUCACUUUUAAAAGGUGAGUGAAAAAGGAGGAACAAGAACACCACAUCAUCAUAUCAUUUCCCCGCCCUUGGACUAAAUGAACCAUAUAAUCUAGAACCUAAUACUGAAGCAAUCAAUAUCAUAUAGUAGCAUAGUACAAUUGAAAACAACCUGUUUCUGAGAAACCAUGAUAAAAGUAAUAAAGAGGGAGAUAACAUUUUUCUGGAUUGACAUUCUUAGUUAACUAGGUACAGUAUAGGGGGUCUUCCUUCAUUUGUUAAUAAUACAACUUUUUCAAGUGAUACAGUAUUUGUUAAUCAUAUUCCUUUCAUUUCAUAGAGCAGUUACAACAUGCAUACAUGUGAUGUGAUCUACAAAAAGUUAGAAAUGACCCAAAAAAUCACUAAACUACCUGCACAGAAUUGUUCCUUGUGAAAAUGGGGUGUCAAUUUAAGCAAUGCAUGCCACACAACAUGCUGUACCAAAAAGGUCUAGCAAGCAAAUGACAUUAAAUGUGUUACAUACCAGAAAUCUUUGCAGAAUAGAUAAAAUGCGUGAAAAGGAUAUGUUAUGCAGGUACUUACCUUGGCAGUAUCAAACAUAUUCACAACAUAAAUAUGAAAAUCCCUUUGAAGCCAAAGAACAUCAUUGUCAGCUCCAUGGAAUAUCUACAGCAUAAGGCAAAAGAGAAAUGUGUGUAUUUAGGAUGUCCUACACUCCUACAGCUUAUCUUUUAUUCUAGGCUGAGUAAUUGAGGGGCAUAUAAACACAGUAAAGGGAAAAAAUAAUCUGCUGACAUCAGUAGGUCCUACAGCUUAUACCUAUAAUGCAUAUCCGAAAAGUAAACUCAACUACAUUUCAAUGGCAUGUAAAUAGAGUUUGUGGCAGUAUCUUUGCUUGUACUGUAAUAGAGCUUAAAGUUUGCAGUCACCACUGAAAAAUGAAAAUAAAUGGCUUACCACUGGCAGGUGGCAGCAGGUACAAAGAUGUGUUACCUUACAAAUAGAAGAAUUAGCAAAGACUGGUCGUAGAAUGCCCAUCACAUCAUGCAAUGCUAUUGUGUCUAUCAAAUAGUCAUCAUUCUGGGUGGAGAUCUAAACAGAACAAUCUAUAUUAAAAAUAAUAAUAAACUUAUAAAGAAUAGAAUGUUGAGGGUGCACGUGCAUCUACCAGUAAUUACCUGCAUUAGUGCCGUAUAUCCUAGGAAAGACCGAAUGCUAUGUUGCUCUGUAUCAACAGCAAAAGCUCUUUCCUCACCUAAUAAUCUUGCCAGAUGCUCCAGUUGAGCUUCUGUAUCAACCCAAUUAUAUGUAGUACUCAUUUUUGGGCACUGGGCACCCAGCAUAAAGCUAUGGAAAUCAGGGGGGUUGUUUAGCAAAGAUGUGAUUUCUUCCUCAAAUGGAUGAACUUUUUGUGAUGAUUCUGUAUCAAUUAAAAUGGAAUGUCAGAAGAAUUAAAAAGAAUGGGACCAAUUGGGAUAUGGUCUGAUGAGUAAUCAAUACUCUAUAUGCUAGAUAUGCAAAUUUCAUAUCUUACAGCAAAACUUAUUCAAUCAACCAUCCAGCUUGGCUUCCUCGAGUAAAAUAGAUAGCAAUUACUUGAGCAUUCCCUUUACUAACUCUACAUCCCCUUUACUACUAACUCCAAAUAACAGCUUGACUUCCUCGAGAAAAAUAGACAGCAAUUGCAGUACAAAUAUUAAAGUUAGUUGAGUAUUCCAGAGUCCAGAACAUGACAAGCGAUUGCUGUUUCAAAUGGUAACAGCAAUAAUCUAGUCUUCAGUUAAGAGCAUGACCUGGAGCUCUUCUGUAGCUUGUAACACUAUGCUAUUAUUCCACUAUGUGCAUCACUAGAGUAGUAUGAACAAAUAGAAGCACGCAAUAGAACAGCGUUUUCCAUGAAUGCAUAAAGCAGCCACUGACUGGAGAAUGCACAGCGCUGCCCUCAGGUGUUCGACGAAAUUCCUCAGACAGAAAAUCCACAUCGAACUGCAUUCCUCUAAUCCUCUACUAGCCUCCCCACCCAGGCCCCCACCCCCACCCCCCACCCCUGUUGCGUCGCGUAGCUCGAUCCUACGUACCAGGGGCGCCGUGGAAUUCCUAAAACAAGCAAACAACCAUACGAGUUCGACGGCAAUGCCGAGAUCCCCGCAAGCAGGAGCAGGAUUCCAGGAGUGCAUGCGCGCACCUUGAGGAGGUGGCAGGGGUCCCUCGCCUUCUGCACUUCCCGGCUGAGCACUCUGACGACGUAGGUGUUUGAACGGGGAGUAGGAGUUGUCCGCGAGCACGCGCUUGAACCGGGCCUGCGGCUUCUCCUCCUCCUCGCAGGCGCGGCGGGGGCGCCCCCCGACCCCGAGGCGGCGAGACGAGAAGGGCGCCAGGUUCCGGCGUCGCCUGCGGUGUAGCAGCGCCGCCGCGGCGAGGACCGCAAGGCACGCGGCGGCCGCGACGGCCGCGCGCGAUCUGAGGGUGGCGGCGCCUGGCAUGUCGCGACGCAGGCAGAGGCAGUCCGACGGUGACGGGAGGGAGAAGACAGAAAAAGGGUAGCUCGAUUUGGACCGUUUGGACUUCGGAAGGCGCAUGCGCAACCGUGCAAAGGAUCGGUCUAUGUCGGGACCGGACCUGCUGACUCGAGAGAGUGAUAGGAUCACCGAGCCAGAGCGUGCGUCUCCUGUAAGGCCCCGCACGCUACCACGGUUCAACAAAAAAUGAAAAACUCUCGUGGAUUCAAAAUCCAAUAGUACUCCGUAAUUCUUUUUCGUAUCAUCCCUUCUGGAAUAAAAAGGGUUGGAUUUCUAUAAAUCCUACAUAAUGACUUGUUUUAUACAAAUUUUAGAGGAAUUUUGCAAGAGGUUAAACCAGUCUGUUCGUUUGAGUUUAUUAGUCAAAUCAGUAAGCAUUCAGCAGUAUUUUUCUCCCACAACAUCUUUUGUUUUCCAUCAGACACUUAUGUCACUUUUUGAUUGUAACAACAUUAAGUCCAAAGGCACAAAGACCAUAUAUACCUAUCGUCUGUGAGUUGAUUUUUUGUUCUCGCGCCACCUCAUUGCCUCGUGUGUCGCUGCAUUGUGCCCACGCGGGGUUUGCGGGCGCUAGCUUGUGUCACACACUACGGUUGUCUAGCCUGGCGGUUUGGUGUCGUGGUUCGUAAUCAUGGUGUGAUUAUUAUUGAUUCAAUUAUUGGUUCAAUGUGUGGGCCCAUGGUAGUUUAGCACUCAAAACACACAAAAAAAAUUUCCUAGUUCGAGUGUCUAAACCCAGCAUCUAACACCUAGUUCUUUAUGUUAGAAUGCUCAAUCGAGUUCUUACUAUGGAGGUUAAGAGGGAGAGAAGGUAGGAGAGCAUAGCUUGCAGUGAUCUAGGAUUCAAUUUCUUCUACAAGAGCCCCUGUUCUACCUUAUAUGUCGGAGGCUGAGAGGAGUACAAAGAGAGUGGAUUCGGUGGUCCUAGGGUUUCCUAUCCUAAUCUUCGAGUUGCUGGCUAUUGCUGUUCAAGAUUGCGGCAGGGAACCCGCUAGGUGUAGCCUCUGAGCCUCUAGCUGAUUAAGAUAUUGGUCGGUGGGUUAGUUGCACAGUUGUGGUACUAAUCUAGGGAUUUAGGUGAUCCAUUUAUUUGGUACUCAACAAUUGGCAUUGUAACUGAGUAGUGGGCUUUGCAGCAAUGCGGCUGAGCAACCAAACUAAAGUGCACCUUGUCGUGCUAGGCUCCUUAUGUUGGAACACGUUCAGCCGAGGGUUAUAGGGUCACCGGUGGAUCUGAGGCUAACAACGGUGGCAUUUGUUGUACCAUCGGGGUAGCGACAGCAUGGCAGGGGCAGGGUUACUGGCACCGUGCGAGAGAGCUCAAGCCCAGAGAUAGCAAGGCAAAACAUGAUGACACUGCCUUGUUCGUUUGGCUGAUAAAUAAUGGCAGAAAGUACUAUUGACUAAUUUAUUAUGAGAGAAAAAUACUACUGAAUAACUAAUUCAAUUGUGGACCAUACAGGAGGGACCAAUGGCACGACAAUAGAAACUUGAUGUGAUCGCAUAGCCUGACCAUGAUGUUGUCAUAAUGUGGAUGUCAAUCAACCUCCAGAGUGGCGUGCAAGGUGGCGCUACGGUGCAGUACGUGAAUGCUACUACUCACGCACUUAUGAAACACAAAUCCUUGUGACUUUGGAGGUUUUUGAAUUAUUUGCAGACCCUAUGAGCUUUUAUAUCUUAAGGUACUCCUUCCGUCCCAAAAAAAUAUCGUUUUAGAAUUUCAGAUAUCUUGUUUAAUCAUCCAUCUUAUUCAAAAUUUUUACAUAAAUAUUAUAUAUUUUGUUAAGACCUAUUUUAUCAUUAGAGAUACUCCCUCCAUCCUAAAUUGUAAGUCGUUUGACUUUUUUUUUCACCUCAAGUUUGACCACUCGUCUUAUUCAAAAAAUUUGUGCAAAUAUAGUCAAAUUUAAAUCAUUCUUGAAGAACUUUUAUUAAUAAACCAAUACACAACAAAAAUGAUAUUUUGUACAAAACUUUGAAUAAGACGAGUGGUCAAACUUGAUAUUAAAAAAGUCAAACGACUUACAAUUUAAGAUGGAUUGAGUACUUUACUAAUGAUUUUAUUAUACUAAAAAUACAAUCAUAUUUUUUAGCCCCUUUAAUCAAAAAGGCUAGUUCCACCACUGCCGUGGCCCGUGGAGGGGAAUUCGAUUUGGUGCCAGUUUGAACUUUGAAAUAUCACGGGCUAGAGUUUAUGCUUACCCACGGUAUGACUACAAGUGUUUCCCUGCUCAGGUCUGGUUUAAUUUUAUUUUUUUAUAAAAUAGACAGUGUAGCAUUUCGUUUGUAUUUGAUAAAUAUUAUCUAAUUAUAAACUAAUUAGUUUUAAAAAAUUCGUCUCGCAAUUUACAAAUAAAUUAUGUAAUUAAUAUUUUUUUAUUUAUAUUUAAUGUUUCAUACAUAUAUUGAAAAAUUUAAUAUGACAAAAAAUCUAAGAAAUUUUUUAUAAAAAAAUACGAAGGAAACAAGGCCUCAGCUCUGAUGAAUGCCUCGGGCAGCAGAUCACGAUCCCGAGAUCGGACAAGAUGACUACUCCGGCCCCGUGCCGCCGUGGCACUCACUGACUGCACAGUCUGACAGACUGACACGCGCUCACGAAGCGUCCAGAGGCGCUCUCCAGAACGCCCCCCACCUGUCCGCAGUCCGCUGCCAGCGGGCCCCGCGCGCUCGCGCACCUUCUCGCGCGCGGGCGCGGCUGGCGCCUGGCGGUGGGGGUUCGGCUUCCCUCCAAGGCAGCCUUCCUUUCUGCAGGCGCGCAGGCCGCAGGGGCAGCUCCCCGUCUUCUUUAUCACUAGCCGAUCGCCGCAGCGCACGACGAUGUACAGAGCGGCCGCCUCGCCGCUCCGUCACAGCCUCCGCCGCCUCUCCUCCUCCUAUUCCGCGGCUACCCCGCUCGCUGGGGCCGCCCGCUUCCUCGCGCCCUCCUCCGAGGGUCGGCUCUCCGCACUCACCUCGUCUCGCCUCCUCGGGUCGGCGCCGUGCCGGUGCUGCUCAGGCGCCGGGAUCGCCGAGCGGCCUGCGUCUGCGUGGCGCGGACUCGCCACCAUGGGUAAUGCUCCUCAGUACCCUCUUUUCUUGCCAAAAACGAAGUGUUGUUCAACGGUAAAAAGUAAAGAAAGCGGCAAAGUGCUAGUACCAUUUUUUUCGAAUUGAGAGGUGUACGGUGUUGCUCAUCAGGCUCAGCGUUCACUAUUUCUCUUUAUCUGUAUAUAUGUGAGAAGAAGAAGAGUUGUCAUACGGUCUGUGUAUUUUGGGUAGCUCGGAGAUUUGAAGUUGUAUUAGGUGACCGAUCAAGUAGUUCCAAGCAGCCAAAUGUCGCUGAUCAUGUCACCCUUUAAAGUUUAAGGGCAUGUUUGGACCACGGGAAAAAAAAAUCCUAUUUCUGCGUUUUUCUAUGUGAUGAAAUUGACUGAUUCCUGUGAAGUUCUUACGUUCCAAACAGUCCCUAAUAAAUUCUAGAUCUCUAUGGUUUUGAUUCUUUUGAAUUCCUAAUGGUUGUUGCUUGUGGUGUCAUUACCACUCAUUAAUAUUGAUCUCCGUAUGUGACCUUACCUGCAGCUGACGGUAAUAGCCGCUUUGGGCAUGUGCUGACAAGCCUCCCAAAGCCCGGUGGUGGAGAGUACGGGAAGUACUACAGCUUACCAGCCCUGAAUGAUCCUAGGAUAGGUACUUAGCCGAGAAAUGCUACGGUGAAUUUAUACACAAUAAUAUGAAGAUCCCCAAGGAGGAUACGUCAUACCAAGCCUUACAACUUGUAAUUCAUUUAUGCAUUCCGUUUUCAGAAAGAUUGCCAUAUUCUAUCCGGUAUCUACUGGAGUCAGCCAUCCGCAACUGUGACGGAUUUCAGAUUACAGAGAAGGAUGUCGAAAACAUCAUUGAUUGGGAGAAUACUGCUCCCAAGCUGGUGGAGAUACCUUUCAAGCCUGCCCGUGUGCUUCUGCAGGUGUGGAAGUGACCUGACUUCAUCCUUCGCUUCAUGUGGUGUAAAACAACUAUUCAUUUUCCUCUCUUUGAAGGAUUUUACUGGUGUCCCAGCUAUCGUAGAUCUUGCAAGCAUGCGCGAUGCUAUGGCUCAACUGGGCGAUGAUCCUGGCAAGAUUGAUCCCAUGGUAGGCAGCACUCAGUACACUAGGACACAUAAGAAUCAUCAUCAUGCAAGAAUGGUCACACGACUGACCAUCUUCUAAUAUUUCUCAACUUCUCACCUUUUUGCUAUUCACUUGCAGAUUCCAGUGGAUCUAGUCAUUGAUCAUUCGGUACAGGCUGAUGUGGUAAAAUCAGAGAAUGCCCUCCAAGCUAAUAUGCAACGCGAAUUCGACAGGAACAAGGAGCGCUUCGCCUUCCUUCGGUGGGGCUCUACGGCAUUCAAUAAUAUGCUUAUUGUUCCACCAGGUUCAGGAAUUGUUCACCAGGUGCAGUUUAUUUUUUUAUAGGCCGAUUAGUUCUCAGUCCCAAAUUUCUGUGCACCUUAAUUUGCAUUAUGCUUCUUGAGUUUCAUUUGAUGCUUUCUUAACUCUAUUUUUUCAGGUGAAUCUUGAAUAUCUUGGACGAGUUGUUUUCAAUACGGAUGGCAUUUUAUAUCUUGACAGUGUGCUGGGAACGGAUUCUCACACUACUAUGAUUGAUGGAAUGGGGGUUGCUGGCUGGGGUGUUGGGGGAAUUGAAGCAGAAGCAACAAUGCUUGGUCAGGUAAUAAAACAGAGAUCAUAAUACAUUGUACACAUUAGGAUAUUCUAUUUGCAUAUGAACCUUGAUUUUGAUUUUGUCUAAUGCAAUAUUUUUCUUAAUGGACAGCCAAUGAGCAUGGUCUUGCCCAGUGUAGUUGGAUUUAAACUGACAGGGAAAUUGCGUGAUGGUGUUACUGCAACCGACUUAGUCCUGACAGUGACACAUAUUCUUAGGAAGCAUGGUGUUGUUGGCAAAUUUGUUGAGUUUUAUGGUAUAACUUUACUUCUGCCAAUUUUUACACAACUUCAGUUUUUAAUAUUACCACUAACGGGUGGGUUUCGCGUGUAGGUGAGGGGAUGAGUGAGUUAGCAGUUGCUAACAGGGCAACAAUUGCUAACAUGUCACCAGAAUACGGUGCAACAAUGGGCUUCUUCCCUGUUGAUCAUGUGACCCUUGGAUACCUGAAGCUGACAGGGAGAAGUGAUGAAAAGGUUUGCUUCCAUUUUUCACCUUAAAAUUGCUUAUUGGUUCUCAAAAAACAUUUCGAUGGAUCCAAUCUAUUGUAGUCUGGACAUUCCUUUUUGGUCCAAUAGUUUUCUUAUGUUUUGAUGUCCUGACAAAUAGGUUGACAUGGUAGAGGCAUAUCUUCGAGCUAACAAAAUGUUUGUUGAUUACAACGAGGUUAGCAUCAUUGGUACUACUAUCUCAGAUAUUAAAGGAAACAUAUGUCUAAUACAGAUCUGUAGUUUCAGACUCAAACAGAAAGAGUUUACUCAUCGUACCUAGAGUUAGAUCUUGCAGAUGUUGAACCAUGUGUUUCAGGCCCGAAAAGGUAACUUUCUUUGCUACCUAUGCUUAUCUUGAUCUUAUCAUGCUACACAUAGGUUUUUCUAAAUAUGAUUGUACCUAUUCAUUGUUAUGUAUUACAUAGACCUCAUGACCGUGUUGCUCUGAAAGAUAUGAAAGCAGACUGGCGUGCCUGUCUCAGAAAUAAAGUUGGUUUUAAGGUAAGAGUACUAAAUUAACUUGAAUGUUGCCAGCAUCCAUGAUAGUAAAAUAGCCUAUCUAUCCUUUACACGAUUUCUGUUGCGCUCACCAACAGAACAGUAAUUUAUUUGUUGUCUACAAUUUUUGUUUGGGUUACAGGGCUUUGGCAUACCUAAAGAGCAACAGGAUAAACUAGUCAAGUUCACCUUCCAUGGACAACCUGCAGAGAUUAGACAUGGUAGCAUUGUGAUCGCUGCCAUAACAAGUUGCACAAACACCUCGAACCCAAGUGUCAUGCUUGGUGCUGGCCUUGUUGCAAAGAAGGCGUGUGAGCUUGGCCUUGAGGUGAGUCUUCAUUGCCAUAAUUACUUCUCAGCACAGCAUGCCUUUCGUAACUUUGGUAUAUUGACAGGUUAAUCCAUGGAUUAAAACUAGUCUUGCGCCAGGAUCCGGGGCAGUGACCAAAUAUCUGCUGAAGAGGUAGAAAUUCCGCCCCUCCCUAGUAGUUUUAAACAUGAAAAUUGUUUAUCUUCAAAUCCUGACUUAUGUCGCAAAAUCAGUGGCUUGCAAAAGUAUUUAGAUCAUCUAGGUUUCAACUUAAUUGGAUAUGGCUGUACAACAUGCAUUGGUAACUCUGGGGAGCUUGAUGAAGAUGUUGCUAAGGCAGUUACUGACAACGGUAACUUCAUACUUAUUAACUAAACACAUUUGCCUGAUUUUUCUCAUGCUCAAUUGUACUUCAGAAAAUGAAAUCCCAUGUUCUUGGCAUGCCUUUGUCAGAUAUCAUUGCUGCUGCAGUACUCUCUGGUAACAGGAACUUCGAAGGGCGAAUUCAUGCAUUGGUUCGGGCCAAUUACCUUGCCUCCCCUCCUCUGGUUGUGGCCUAUGCCCUUGCUGGCACUGUAAGCAGUGUGUUUAUCCCUAUUGAUUUUUUUUCCUGGUGUAGUCACCAUGGAUAAAUUGUCGUAUUUUGUCCCAUCAAUAUAUAUACAUUUGCAUCAGGUUGAUAUUGAUUUUGAGACGGAACCAAUUGGGAAAGGAAAAAAUGGAAAAGAUGUGUACUUCAAGGACAUAUGGCCAUCAAAUGAAGAAAUUGCAGAGGUAAAUUCAAAAUUGUCGCAUUCUUCUAAAUUGCUCAGUAUGCAUUUAUCAUAUAUAGAAUGCACUUAUCACGCCUUAAGGUUGGAUUAUAACAAUACCAGGUUGAGCAAUCAAGUGUGCUGCCUGACAUGUUCAGGAGCACCUAUGAAGCAAUCACACAAGGCAACCCAAUGUGGAACCAGCUGUCAGUUCCCAAGGCAAAGCGCUUCCCAUGGGACCCCAGUUCCACCUACAUUCAUGAUCCUCCGUUCUUCAAGGAUAUUACACCGACUCCGCCAGGUCCACGCAGCAUAGAGAAUGCCUAUUGCCUGUUGAAGUUUGGUGACAGCAUCACGACAGACCACAUCUCACCAGCUGGGAGCAUCCCCAGGGACAGCCCUGCUGGCAUGUACCUGCUUGAGCGCGGUGUGCAGCCAAAGGAUUUCAAUUCUUAUGGAAGCCGUCGGGGCAACGACGAAGUGAUGGCACGAGGAACUUUUGCAAAUAUCAGGAUUGUGAAUAGGCUGUUAAAUGGAGAAGUUGGACCGAAGACGAUUCACGUCCCUACAAGUGAUAAGCUCUUCGUGUUUGAUGCUGCAAUGGUCAGUUCUUCUUCCCCAAGCUACGUUCCUGUCGAGAUAGUAUGCAGCAUUAUAUUAAGAACAAAUAGGCACUCUAUUCGCCUUGUUGGCCAACUGAGCUAGGCUCAGUUCAUUGAAUUAAUUAUGAAACACAGUGCCCAUUUUACUUCAUACUCCUACUAACUAGACUUGACAUUUGAGCAAAUAUCCUUUUGGAUGGUAGCCAAAGGUAAGUAUGCCAAAGUAUAUGCUUGACCUUUUUUUUAGCCAACCUGACUUCAAAAAGCAUCUGACUUUGAGAUCAUUAUUUUUGUCGAUGAGUAUUUCUUAUGUACUCCUAGUAAUAGGCCAUUACACUGGUUGUGCUUAUUUCAGAGAUACAAAGCUGAUGGGCAUCAUACCAUAGUGUUGGCUGGAGAGGAAUAUGGCAGUGGAAGUUCUCGGGAUUGGGCUGCCAAGGGACCAAUGUUACUGGUAUAUGCAUAUCAUACAACUGCCAUUUCUUUGCUGGCUACCGGAAACUCGCACAUUUCUUUGACAAAACUAUGUCAUCAGGGGGUCAAAGCAGUGAUCGCCAAGAGUUUCGAGAGGAUCCACCGCAGCAACCUCGUGGGAAUGGGAGUGUUACCGCUGUGCUUCAAGCCUGGUGAGGAUGCUGAUUCUCUGGGGCUCACCGGUCAUGAGCGCUACACAAUAAGGCUCCCUACCAAUGUGAGUGAGAUACAACCGGGCCAAGAUGUCCAAGUGGUCACUGACACUGGGAAGUCAUUUACCUGCAAGCUCCGGAUUGAUACCCUGGUAAGUUCUCGAGUAAUAAAAGGAUGUGGAACUGGUAAUUGCAGAAAUGUUCACAGCACAGUGGUCAAUACAACUGAAUUACCGCGAUAAAGUUUCUGGGCAUUACAUUCCAUGAUUGCAAGCACGUACACCACUUAGAUUUUUGUUCAUACUGUGAGAUGAAACAGUGCAUUUUCAAAUACUAGCCUACAAGCUUAGCAGUUAGCGCUAAUCAAAUUGUAUUGAUUUUAAAAUAGUAUGAAUUGUGUGACGAAUAACAGAAAAAAAAACGUGUUUUCUAGGUGGAGCUGGCUUACUUUGAUCAUGGCGGGAUCCUUCACUACGUUCUGAGGAACCUGGUGAAGCAGCAACAGCAGCAGUAAAACUCUAAAAAUACAUGAAAAUCUGUGAAUAUUUGCCUAUCUUGUGUGUUUCGAAAAAGGCUAUUGUGAGGAAUAAAAUCACUCCUGCAGUUUGUAAAGUCAAGCCGAUGUAAAUGUUCAUGAGCUGAGGCUGAGCUGUGCUGUUUUGUAUUAAAAUUUCUGUGCUAAUAAAUAAAGAUGGUAUUGGUAUGUUGGCAUCUGUCACCUGAAGGCUGAAGUUUCUUUCUCCUAUGAAGAUUCAUAAAAUUUAGUCAAUCUUGCCUUUUUUCUGCGGCGGCGGAGCAUCCGGCGGUGGCCCUUCCGGGAGUUGUUCCGGUGCCCGCCCUGGCGCUGGCGGCGGCGGCGGCGGGAGAUGGGCGCUGCGCUGGGCGUGGGCGGGUAGUAGAAGGCGGAGGAGGCCGCUCUGCCGUGCCCGUGGACAGGCGAGAGGGCUGCCCGUGGACAGGCGAGAGGAGAACAAGCGAAAUUUACAAGACAAGCUGUUACACCGUUGGAUCGGGAUUGUGCGGCUUAUGGUAGAACUUGGUCUCGUUCAGAUCUCUCCUCUCGCGUAGUGGUGUUCAACGAUUCUGCGGUGGAGGAGCAGCCAGAAAGAAUGCUUCAUUUGCAAUAUGGCUGAAAAUGAUGCUCACCUGUGUUUUUCACUGUGAUUUUGCUAGGGCUAUCAACCAUCAUCACCAUGAAUACAGAAGAAGAAGAAGAGUUACAAAACAUAAUAACUACUCUUUGGUUUAUUUGGAAAGCGAAUGCUCGCUUCAACAACAAAAAAAUAGUCUGUUUUACAGGUACAUCAUUCAACAGCAGCGGAGAUAACUACAUCCAUAUCUGAACUUAAUGCAGAUAAACAAGGAAAUGAACUCCAAGAAAAGAGGAGAGAAAGGCGAACAUUAGAGGAACUAGGCCCUAAUCAUUAUAGAAUCUCACUACCUGCUGCUCUUUGAGGAACACGAUACUAUACAGAUGCUUCAAUCACUCCUGACAACGACGGAAAUCCUGCUAGACAUGCUGAACUGGAAAUUUUUAUUGUUCCCUCUACUAUCUACAUUAAAGCAAAGAUGAUGAACUGUAGCUCUAUCAUUAUGGCUGAAGCUGCGGCAUUGGAUCUGGCUGCACAAAUCCUCAAAAAACUUGGUAUACAACAUCCAAGUUUGCUAACAGAUAAUGAACAACUGGCUAUCUUCUUCAAUGGCCAAAACUACCAAAAUCCACCGAGAUGGGAGAUAAAACCUCACACUCAGUCCUUCAUCAACUCAUGUCUCUCAAGAGGAGAAAAAGUCUUCAAAAUCUGUAGAAGCAACAUUCUACAGCUCAUUGCAACAGAGUAUCUGGGGCUACCAAUGCCUAAUGGAAAAAUGAAAAGAGGAGUCUUCCAACCACUUGAGGAGAGGUUCCAGAAGAGAAUGUGUGCCUGGAAGGAAAAGGAGUUAUCUGUGGCUGGUAAGGAAAUCCUCAUUAAAUCAGUUGAACAAGCCCUGCCUAAUUACGUGAUGAGUGUUUUCAAGCUCCCACUAACAUUGUGUGAUGAGUUGAUGCGACAUAUACGGGCUUACUGGUGGGGUUCUGACAAUGGCCACAGGAAGGUUCAAUGGGUUCCAUGGGAGAAGAUGAUUAUGCCAAAAGGGUUUGGGGGUAUGGGCUUCAGAGACCUCAGAUUGGUUAACCAAGCCUUACUAGCAAGACAAGCAUGGAGAUUGGUGUUCUUUCCUGAGAGCCUGUGUGCUAGAGUUCUGAAAGCCAAAUAUUUUCCCAAUGGCAAUUUGCUGGACACAGUUGCUGCUGGAGAUGCCUCCCCAUCAUGGCGCGGAGUUGAGUUUGGGUUGACACUACUAAAGCAAGGUGUGGUCUAUAGAGUGGGAGAUGGACAAAGUAUUCGCAUUUGGCGUGAUAACUGGUUGCCCAGAGCUCAUGGCAUGAAGCCAGUUGGCAGCGUUCGGCAUUGCCGACUACGCCGGGUCUCUCAUUUGAUUGAUGCUCAAACUAAGUCCUGGGAUGAGACACUUGUAAGAAGAUAUUUUUAUGCCUGUGAUGUCGAGGAGAUAUUCAAAAUAAAAAUACCCAGCAAUCCCUGUCCAGAUUAUGUAGCUUGGAACUUUGAGACAUCGGGUAUGUUUUCUGUCAAAAGUGCUUAUAGACUAGCCAUGAGGAUUGAACACGAUGAAGGGAACAUCGGCACCAGCUCUACUCCUCCUGAUGGUAGAACGGUAUGGAAAAACCUGUGGUCUACUAAUGUACCAGAGAAAGUCAAGGUGUUUGCAUGGAAGGUCGCCAAUAAUGGUAUCCCCACUCAAGCUAAUAAGUACUUCAGACAUCUGGCACAAUAUGAAACCUGCGAGUUGUGCGGACAUGCUCGUGAGGACUGUUUCCAUGCGUGUGUACGCUGCCCACAUGCUGUUGCUCUUCGUCAGGCCAUGAGAAUGCAUUGGGUACUUCCGGCUGAGGAGGAUCUACAAUAUACUGGGCCUCAGUGGCUGCUGGCCCUUGUGAGCCGGUUCCCAGUGGAGGUCAUUGGAAAUCUUUUGAUGCUUCUAUGGCGUGUUUGGAGUGUGCGCAACAGUGUUCUGCGGGCAGGCAAAAGACUCUCGAUUGACAGUUCUGUGUUGUUUCUUACUCGUUACAGGGAUUCUCUCAUGCAGUGUCAAUUAAACAGUUUCCAUGCUGAAGACAAGGGGAAGCGCUGUGCCUUGAUUGGGAGCUCUCAGCUGGAGAGGGUUGCCAGGCUAGAGAAGAAGUGGGUUCCGCCAGAACCAGGAUGGAUGAAGAUUAACGUGGAUGGGGCUUUCUUACCCGAUUCUGGUGUAGCUGCAAUAGGUGUGAUCAUCAGGGACCAUGGUGGUGGGAUUAAACUGUCAGCCUGGCGAUUGCUUCGCCAUUGCCGGGAUGCAGUGGAGGCUGAAGCUGUGGCGUGCCGUGAAGGGAUUAUCCUUGCAGCGCGCUGGCCGGAGGUCCCCAUGAUUCUGGAAACCGAUUGUUCUGUGGUGGCAGGGAAGCUGAGGAAUCUUGUACAGCAUCGUUCCGUGAUUUGGUCUACCAUUCAAGAAGCUACUGUAGGGAUAGAGGAUCUUUGCCGGGUGGAAGUUCUGAAGAUUAGUCGAGCUCAAAAUAACACCGCACAUCAACUUGCUCAUUAUGCUAUUAGGUCGAGUAGUAGUCAGGUCUUUUUUUCUUCUUUUCCAGAGUUUGUCGUGUCGCUUGCUUGUAAAAAUACUGUUUGAGUUUUAAUAAAGUUUAUGUUCACAAAAAAAAGAGAUAGUGCUGAAUUUACUUAUACCAAUUCUCAGCAUGUAAACAACUGUCCUUUUAGGACAGCCCUAGACUCUGUAUUGGGUGCUCAUUUCACCCUCCUAGCAGCCUCAUGCUGCUAAUUAAUAAAUUUUGACUUCAUUCAAAAAAAAUGAUUUUGCAGUAGUUUGAUCUCUCUUUUUAUUUUUUGAACUUCAGUAGUUUGAUCUCUUAUCUCUGUUUUAUUUUCAUGAUAUGAUUACAUUAAAAAUGUAUUUAGGGUACUGGUAAUAAUUCCGAUACAACCUAUAUUUUUCAUGUAUUACCAAGUGAUUUUACAUAAUGUUUUUGCUCCACUAGAGCAGUUGGCAUAAAAGCAGGAGCAGAAGCCGGCCCAAACAGGUCAGCUUCCCGGUUAACAAGAUUCAUAAAAUUUAGUCACUCUUGCUUUUUUCCUCUUCCCUUAUUUUCUACUCUAGAGCCAUUUUAUCGUCUUAUAAAAUAUGUGCACCAAGAGGAGAGCUUGUUUGCUUGUCUUAUAAGCUAUAUUUUUUCUGCCAGUCAAUAAUGUUUUUUGCUCGUAAUAAAUCAACGAACAGCCAUGACUUUUUAGGCAAGCGACGUUUAGUAUUGGCCGAUAAAUUCGUGAACCUAACACUGUACAACCAAACCAAACAACAGAUGGUGAAAAAAAUCAUGUAGUGACAAACAAACAAAGAAUGUCUUAAUUACAUCCAGAAAGCAACAGGCUUCCAAUGCGUUUCAGGAAACUGAUGAGCAUCGGUCAUCUCGUACGACUGCACCUUGCGGUGUGUAGUGACAAGGUGUCCUUGUCCAUCGUACUCGAGACCAAACGUGGUGACCGCGAGCACACGGCGAUGCGGGUAGUAGCCAUCGUCAUGGAGGCGCCGCAGGUCCUCCUCGUCGUCACGCGCCAGCGACUCAACCAGGCAGUACCUGCUGCCGCCCAUCCACACGAGCGUGGCCCCAAGGUGCCUCCUGGACUUCGCGUCGAACAGUUGGUCCUCGCCGAGCUUCCAGGCGGGCAGGCUCCUGAGGUCGGCCGGAGCCGGCGCGACGUCGCAGCAGGAGAGGUAGCCUAAGCCACCCUUAUGCCAGCAGAGGCCCACCCAGGCGUCGAGCUGGGCAUCGAAGUACGCCUCGCCUUUGAACGGCAGGAUCCAGUUGCCAUGCGACGCCCACUGCUUGCUCUCCGUGUCGAAGGAGAACGUGCUCUCUUUAUGGGAAACGAAGAGAGUGCGGCCAUCGGGGUGUAGCACGGAGGCCCAUAUGCGGUUGAAGUCCUCGAAGGGUGGGGGAGCGCCGGUUCGGCUCCACGACCACCCCGCGUCUUCUGGGUAGAUGCUGUCGGGCGGCGGCGGCGCGGCGCUGAGCAUGUCGAACUGGCCUGCUCUUAGAAGGUAGAGGCUGCCAGCGAUGGACAGGAACAGUGGUUUAACGGCGAGCUUGUUGCCGCCGCGGCGUGGCCAGGGGCAGACGGCCAGCGCCGUCGUCUGGACAUCGAACACUGGGAAGGCAGGGUAAGGACAUGGCUGCAUGGCAAGGAUCUUGGUGCCGUGGGAGGCGAAAUACCAGGAGCGCCCGUGGCGGGCCUCGAAGCGGACGACCGGGGGCUCGGGGAGGGGGAGGGGCUCCGGCCCGGCGUCGAGGGCGUCGAAGGACUCGACGUCGACCUUGUAGACGCUGUAUCCCCUCUCCCAGUCAUCAAGAAUGAGAUAGAGAUGCUUCUUGUGCUCCUGCUGCUUGAAUUGCUUGGCCGCGCGGUGGCAUUGGCAGCUGGGGCAGGGCUCAAGCUCGCACUGCUGCCGCUUGUUCGGCAUUAUAAUUACUCUCUUUCCUGCUAACAACAACGAGCAAACCAUCAACUCGUAUAUACGGCGUAUAUAUUGUCUCGUCCUGGGUCCGAGACCUCUUCGUCUUCCAAGUUCCGACUCGACUCCUCUUCGGAUCGGAUCCGCUUCUUUUCCGUCCGAUUCCGACCCCUGUUAAAGUUCUACCAUAAGCCGCACGAUCCCGAUCCAACGGUGUAACAGCUGUCCUGUAAAUUUCGCUUAUUCUCUUCUCGCCUGUCCACGGGCACGGCAGAGCGGCCGCCUCCGCCUUCUACUACCCGCCCACGCCCAGCGCAGCGCCCAUCUCCCGCCGCCGCCGCCGCCAGCGCCAGGGCGGGCACCGGAAGCACUCCCGGACGCGCCACCGCCGGAUGCUCCUCCGCCGCGCCGCCGCCGCCGCAGCAGCGAAGCUCUCCUCCUCUUUAACCUCCGAGCGAGCCCUCCGUCACGUGGGCGCCGCCGGCCGCGGCCGCGGCCACGCCACCACCUCGUCUUCGAACCCACGCCGCCGGGGCCACCGUCGUGCGCCGACGGCUGAGUCCGAGUCCCUCACUUCCACCGCCGCCCCCCGUCCAUUCCCUGACUACCGCCCUCCCCGGCCUGACUCGCCGGACGACGACGCCCUCGCGCGCCGCCUGGCCGCCGCGGUGCUCGCCUCGCCUCACCCCACCUCCCUUCCUCCGCUCCCCUUCCUGCCCGUCCUCCGCCCAAUCCACCUCCUUCUCGGGCUCCCGCUCCUCGCCUCCCACCCGCACCUCGCCGGCCUCCUCCUCCCUCUCCUCCUCCUCUUCCCCUCCCGCCCUCAGCAGCACCCGCACCCGCACCUGCUCCGCUGCUUCGCCGUAGCUGCUCACCUCGCCGUAGUACGCGGCGCCGGAGCUGGCGCCGGUGCCGCGCGCGCCAUCCUCGCGCGCGCAGUCCGCUUCCCCUCCCCUCAUAGACAUUUCGUCGAGCACUACAUCUCCACCUACAAGGCAUUCUCCUCGGACCCCGCCUCCUUCGACCUUCUCCUCUUGUGCCUCCCCUCCGCGCCCCUACUGCGCCGCGUCCGCCAGUACGGCAUCUCCCCGUCCCCGGAGGCCUGCAAUGCCGUGCUCUCCCGCCUCCCUCUUGAUGAAGCCAUCGAGUUGUUUCAAGGUCUCCCGGACAAGAACGUUUGCUCCUACAAUAUACUACUCAAGGUGCUCUGUGGUGCUGGCCGCGUGGAGGAUGCACGGCAGCUGUUCGAUGAAAUGGCUUCACCGCCUGAUGUUGUCACAUAUGGGAUUCUUAUCCAUGGAUACUGUGCUCUUGGUGAGCUGGAGAAUGCGGUGAAGCUGUUGGAUGACAUGGUGGCAAGAGGGGUGGAGCCAAAUGCAACUGUGUAUACUAGUGUUGUUGCAUUAUUGUGUGACAAAGGGCGGGUUUCAGAUGCUUUGACAGUUGUCGAGGAUAUGGUCCAUCAUAAGGUGAUAUUGGAUGAGGCUGUGUAUACGACUGUCUUGAGUGGUUUUUGUAAUAAAGGAGAUUUGGUAUCUGCAAGAAGGUGGUUUGAUGAAAUGCAGAGAAAAGGUUUGGCAACUGAUGGGGUGACAUACACAACGCUGAUCAAUGGGCUUUGCCGGGCUGGUGAGCUGAAAGAGGCAGAGAAAGUGCUUCAGGAAAUGUUGGCCAGGCGGUUGGAUGUUGAUGAAGUAACAUACACAGUGCUUGUUGAUGGGUACUGCAAGAGAGGGAAGAUGGCGGAGGCCUUUCAGGUGCAUAAUACAAUGGUUCAGAGAGGAGUGGCACCAAAUGUAGUGACAUAUACAGCUUUGUCAGAUGGACUAUGCAAGCAAGGGGAUGUUCAGGCCGCUAAUGAGCUAUUGCAUGAGAUGUCUAACAAGGGGCUUGAGCUGAAUGCUUGCACAUACAACUCCCUGAUAAAUGGCCUAUGCAAGGCAGGCUAUCUGGAUCAGGCCAUGAGGACUAUGGCAGACAUGGAUGCAGCGGGUCUUAAACCGGAUGUUUACACCUAUACAACUCUUAUUGAUGCACUCUGCAAGUCAGGGGAGCUUGACAGGGCCCAUGACCUCUUGCAAGAAAUGUUAGAUAAUGGAAUUAAGCCUACUAUAGUGACUUACAAUGUUUUGAUGAAUGGUUUUUGCAUGUCAGGUAGGGUAGAAGGAGGAAAGAAGCUGCUUGAGUGGAUGCUGGAGAAGAAUAUCCAUCCAAAUGCUACAACUUACAAUUCUCUUAUGAAGCAGUACUGCAUUGGCAAUAACAUGAAAUCUACCACUGAGAUCUAUAAGGGGAUGUGUUCUCGGAAUGUGGAGCCAAAUGAGAAUACAUACAAUAUAUUGAUCAAGGGGCACUGCAAGGCAAGAAGUAUGAAAGAGGCACAAUAUUUCCACAAUGAAAUGAUAGAGAAGGGUUUCAGACUUACUGCAUCCUCAUACAGUGCUCUUAUAAGAUUGCUGAAUAAAAAGAAGAAAUUUGUUGAGGCAAGAAAACUAUUUCAUGAUAUGAGGAAGGAGGGUUUUACAGCUGAACCAGAUGUAUACAAUUUUUAUAUUGAUUUCAACUUUAAUGAGGACAAUUUGGAGGCAACCCUUGCUCUUUGUGAUGAACUGGUGGAAGCUAGUAUUGUGAAAUCAAAAGCUGAAAUGGAUCAAGAUGUUGUAAAGGACCAUAUACAUUAGGGACAUAAUUUUGGCUGGUUAUGUCAUGCUAGCUUCUUCAGAUUGUGUUUGCAUGCAAUGUGAAUACAUGAUCCAGAGAUAGUACUGUCCCUUUUCACCGUGCGAAAACUGGCAGUUGAGGUAAAAACAGUUUAUUCUAAGUAUUUAAAUUGGUUACAGAUACUAGUUGUGUGUUCCCUGGCAUUUUCUGAUGGUUGAUGAUACUAUCCUUUAAUUGCAGCCUUCAUCAGGUUCAUCCGGAAGAUGUUGAGAUGUGUAGAUAGAAUGCACAUUGUGGAGUUGGUGUGGUUUGCAAGGUAGAAGACAAAAUGCAUUGUGAACUCCGCUUUUCUUUUCAAGUAUUACGUCUGGUCCUUGUUCCUGUGUUUUUCUACAUCAAGUUUAAUGGUUUAUCCAUUUGUUAGUUUGAUACUUGCAGAAUAAAUAUGAAUCAUCUAGAGCAUUGCUAGAUGUGCUUAUUUAUUAUCUCACUCAUAUCCUGCAUCUGACUUCCACUCAUGCCUUGUGUUGCAACUGACACCAUGUUAAGUUAGAGGGGUUUUUGGAUCCAGUGCUUCUUCAGAGCAACUCUUCCAGUGAUACUUCCUGUAAAGAAAUAUAAACUAGAUCUACUUUGCUUGGGUUUAGUCCUUCCCCAGAUUAAGGGUUACUCUACUAAGAUUCACUUUUAGCUAUAUUUUUUUUGGAGUUGCAAUGAACUCACGCUGACCUUUAAUCUGCUGACGUGCAGGACAAGAGGUUUUUUGGUUAAUAAAUUGUCAGGCUGCGAACUAUUGAAUUAGUUGUCUUUACGAGGAGUGAUAAGGGCCUGCGCGUGAUGCCAAUGAGUACAUAACUACGUAUAGGAGGAACAUGGCGAAACCACUGGUGAAACAGAGAGAACUAAAGAAACAAUGAGGCUUAUGCCUGCGAAUGGAAGGAUGAACUAGAAAGAUUUAGUGAACAAGAGUGGAAGGGCAUUGGUUAAGAAGUGAUGUUUGGUCUUCAUUCAGAAUUUUGAGAAAAAUAAAUGCUAUGCUCUGUUUUCAGACAUCAUUCCUUCCUCAAUGUUACAGCACCCAGAUCAGCUUCAUGGUUCACUGACUUGGACCUUCGGUUAUACAUAGGGGAAAUAGAUCAACUGUGGUGUAUCAGAGAACUCAGCUUCUUGGAGAUUCAUAAAGUGGAGCACCGGAUACGGUUAGCUGUUAGAAUUACACAUCACAAUACAGCCAUAUAUGGGAAACAUACAGCUUCAAACGAACAUAUUGAUUUGGACAGAAGAUACAACUGUACUGUAGUCUGUAGGAAUGAAGAUGAAUUCGAAGCUCACUUUUUUUCCAGUGGAUGCAACAUGCAUUCAUUGUUUCUUGCAAUUAAAUUAAAUUUAUUUCAUGGGGAUUCAAGAACUUGGAUUACGACGUUGUGGAAUAUCUCCGUGCGAUGAGUGCAAUGAGUGCUCGAUACUUGUUUAGCUAAAACAUGUGCUAUUUUAUUACAAGAUCUACUAAUAUAAGAAAAAGAGAAAGGCCUGUUUGGUACUACUCGCUUCAUGAGCUGUUGUGAGCUGUUUUUUUUGUCAAACACUUAUUUUCAAAACAGCUUCAUGGGUGAAGUUGUUUUUCCCCCUCCUCUCACAAAGACAUAAGUUAGGAUGAAGCUGAAAAAAAAGUAGCUUAUUGCAGCUCUCUCUUAUUUCUCUCUCAACUAUGCAUGAAGUAGUUUGUGAAGCUAUUUUGCUAAAUAUUUUUUCCAAACACAGCUCAGCUUCAUCUAGAAAGUCACUCAUGAAGCUAUUUUCUAAAAAAACAGCUUUACUAGUGAAGUUGAGCUGUGCCAAACAAGCCCGAAAUCUUAAAAGGCAAGCCUGACAUCAUCAAUCUCCUUAACCCGGAUUAACGGGCGCUAGUUGUCCUAGCUUCUUCCACAGUUUUUUUCUCCAAACUUCUUCCACAGGUUGACAAGCUCGAAACAAUCUUUCCAGCCAUACCUAUUGUAUACCCUAUCGCUUCGCCAACACUAACCCGUCUCAGCACGUUAACACUUUCAUCUGACAAGCAUCGAAACCACGAUCAUCGCCUGUGCAACAGAUCCCGAAUUAUGCUGGCCGUCGCCCCCACUGUGCUUGUUCUCACAUAAGGCGGCAUCAGAAUUGAUUUUAAACCAGCCUCGGGGGGGGGGACCUCAUUAGUCGUUCGCUGCUGAACCGAGUGACAACCUUGUUUAGUUCGCAAAAAUUUUACUUUUUGGCUACUGUAGCACUUUCGCUUUUAUUGUCAUAUUGUCCAAUCAUAGAGUAGCUAUGAUAAUAAGAUUCAUCUCACAAAUUACAGGUAAACUGUACAAUUAGUUUAUAUUUUCGUCUAUAUUUAAUGCUCCAUGCAUGAGACUAAAGAUUUGAUUUGACAUGGAAUCUUGAAAUUUUUUGCAAACUAAAUAAGGCCAAAGCUGCCAAAGAUCAUAAGCUGUAUCCUGUGCCCAAAUAACAGCUUGUUGAAUGGUUAUCGACAGUUCCCCAUGUCUUCUCUUGUUUCACAUCAUCCACAAAGCCCACGACCCGCAAAAUAUCUAUGUCCCAGCGAGAGUAAAUAACCGUUUAUUUUGCUGAUAAGCCAUGAUAGAAAGUACAGCUGAAUGUGUCUAUUCGAGAGGAUAUGUCUUGCCGGCAACAAUUCAUGGAACACUCGCCACCAAAAUACUCAUGUUCUAGAUAAUCUUCCAAAGGCCAUCAGAUGAGGCGCCAAGUUCUUGGUUCUAGUUCUCUUCUUCCUUCUUCUUAAGCAGCAAUUUAUAUGCCGAAAAGAUUUGCCCGGUUUUAGAGUUGAGGGAGAAAAGGCGGAUUUUCGUCAAAAUUGUAAGAGUAAAAGUAGAUUUUUUUCAUUCUCUUAUGACGUGUUUAUUGAAAUAAAUCAGCCCAUGUGAACUUCGGCCGGCCUAGACGCUUCGGCAGGGUAGAAAUGGGCUCAUAGAAAGGCCCAAUCUCCAAGGCUCUCCGCUGCACGCCUGCACUGCACCUAAACCUCGCAAAAGCCCAACCCAAACCCUAGCACCCCGCGAAAGGCAGCCUCCCGCCGGUCACAUGGAUUUCGGUCGCCGGAAGGCGGCGGCGCUGGCUGCGCUCUCCUCGCCGACGCCGGACAAGUCCCCGAAGGGCGGCGUCGACGCCCCUAUCGCCCCGCUCCUCGACGUCCUCAACUCCCACCCGGACCUCUUCACCACCUCCUCCUGCUCCGGCCGCGUCUCCGUCCUCGCGCAGCCUCCGCCGCAGCAUGAGGGCCAGGGCGAUGGCGCCACCAAGCCGAAGAAGAAGGCGCGGGGCGGCGGGUGGGUAUACGUAUCGCACGACCCCGCCGACCCGGACGCCGUGGUGGAGCAGCUGUUCGGCGGGAGCGGGUCGGGAGUGGCGGGGGACGAGCUCGUGUUCAGGUUCGAGCCGAUGAUCGUGGCGGUGGAGUGCAGGGACGCCGCCGCAGCUGCGGCGCUCGUCGCGGCCGCGAUCGGUGCAGGUUUCCGUGAAUCAGGUGAGCUGUGUGAUCUGUGAUUGUAGCGUGCCUCCUUCAAGCCUGUGUUUAGAGUUAUGUUGAGAUGUUGGAUAAGGCUUCGAUUUCCAUGAACAACUCAGCACUGUAUCCUUACCAUCAGUGUUAUUGUACAGUAUUUCAAUACAUGGAGUUGUGGAACGAUUUGUGAAUACUAAUAUCAUUGAUGGCAGGCGCAGGGUUCAUUAUAGUUAGUUUUGCAUAUAUAGUUUUAGAAAAGUAUGUUUUUUGGUUCGUGCUUUUAGUUGAAAUGAUAAAUUGACUCACAAGUGAAGGUUUGUAUGAUGAGAGAUGGAUUCCUUGGAUUGUGUAACGUGUAGUGCUGAGUUCGAUAUGAUGUUUCUUGUCCUUAUUUAUAGGAAUAUCAGAUUAAGUUUGUUUAAAACCGAUUAAUCUGGUUUUCAGGUAUCACAAGCUUGCAGAAACGUGCAAUGGUAGCAAUAAGAUGCUCAAUUCGCAUGGAAGUGCCACUGGGGCAGAUUGACGAACUUGUUGUUUCUCCGGAGUAUGUUCGAUACCUUGUUAGAAUUGCCAACAGUAAAAUGGAGGCAAAUAAAAGGCGAAUGGAUGGAUUUCUGGAUCUCUUCCAGACUAAGGUAUUGAGCUAUGCUUGUCUUACUGUAUUCCAACUUUUUUGUUGGUGUGCAUGACAUACAUGUUCGGAAACUUUGGAUAUUGUGUAAGUCCAAAAAUGUUUCUGCUGAAUGUUCAUUAAGCUGGAGUGGAGAGUAAACUAAGUAUUUCUUUUAUAAGAGAGAAUAAUCUAGGACGUUUCUGUUUAUAAAACUACUUAAUGAGCUGAGUAAGAUUUUUCAACCAGAUGACGAUAGUUACUUCUUGAUUUACGACCACUUGUCAGAUACUACCUCCUAUCUUUUUCAAAUGACACUGGUAUUUCAAAACUGAACUAGCCAGCGUCAUUUUAAAAAGAUCAGAAGGUGUAAGUCUAUCUUCAUUUAUCCAUAGUAUAUGUCCUAAACAUUUGUGUAUUCCCAAAAUUUUUUUACUUUGACCACCAAUUCAUUUACAAAUAUCUUUGUACAUACCACAAUAAUCUAGUUGUUUUCUCAUUCAUGUUGGUUCCAAUCAAAUUGCCAGGGUUUGUCAUACUCAUCAGAGUUGUCAAACAACUGUAAUGGAAGUGGUGGUCAGUCUGUUGAUUAUGAGGCUUCCAUGGGUCCUGAAGUUAAGAUACCAUUAGAUAAAUGUGCCAAAACAAAUGAUGAGUACUUAGUUACAAAAAGGAGAAACGGUGGGCAUAGCUGUGAUGAUGAUGAUACAGGUUCAAUAGAAGCAAGGUAUUUUGGAAAUCAAGACUCUGCAUGGAGCAAGGGUGCCAAGCAUGGUUUUGGUAAUGCUAAACGGCAUGUUCUCUUAUCUCUUUGUCUCAUCUUGUUCCUACUUUUCAUUUUUCUUAGAUUAGCACGUAAAUUUAUUGGUUUGAUGGGCUCUGAAGUGGAUAUUUGAUAUCAUUUGGUUGCUUCAAAGAGGUGCAUCACAGUACAUGGUAGUUUGGCACGUUAGACCCACUAACUUGGUUGUUAAUUGUCUAUGUUGUUUACAUAUGGUGAAUUUUAUAAGCAGUGUUUCCGUAAAUGCUUAAAAGGUGGUCAACUUUGUUUAGCCUUGUUGGACUACACAGCCUAUUAGUCAGAUUACAUGUCCAUUUAAGCGAACACUGGUUUUAGGAAACUUUUUUGUUGAACAUUAGCUGAACUAAGUGAGAAAUUAAAUUCCAUCUGGUUUUGAUUUUUUUUUGUUUUCUUGUAGCAGAUAGGUGAUUGUUUUGAAUUACUAAACCAUGAUUUUCCCUUCACUAUUUAAUGAAUUGAUGGUCCUGCACCUAUUUAGUUGUCGACUCUGUUAUUCCAUAAUUCUGAUAAUGUACUUUUAGUCUUCUUACAAAGUGACUAUCCAGUAGCUCGGAGCCUUCUAUUGAACCCUUUUCAUCUGUUCUGUUGUAUUGUCUGUAGAUUAUUAACGCAGGAGAAGUUGUCAGAAAAGAAAAAUCAUCUCUCUACCACAACAUUGAAGAUUAGUGGUGAACCAAUUGAGAAGCUCUUCCUAUGGGGCCAGUCCUCUUGUGUGUUUACUGUUGGAGAAGAGCAGCAGGUCCUAACUUUUGGUGGUUUUGGAGGACCAGGAAGACAUGCUAGGAGAAACUAUUCCCUUCUGCUCGAUCAUAAAUCUGGUUUUUUGAUAGAAAUGAUCUUCAAAGCAUCUCCUUCACCAAGGAUGGGGCAUACAGUUACUGCAGUUGGUAAUAGCACUUAUCUAAUUGGAGGUAGAGGUGGCCCUUCAGAAAUUCUUGAUGAUGUCUGGGUUUUGCUGAGCACUGGGAAUACAUGGUCAAAAGUGGAGUGCUGUGGAGAUCUGUUCCAACCAAGGUACUGUUUAGAUGAAAUUGUUAUCCCCCUUUGCCCGUGAUCGAUAUUUUAUGGACGUUCUGUCUCUUUAUGCAGGCACCGACAUGCAGCUGCUGCAGUAGCUUCAAAAAUUUAUGUAUUUGGAGGACUCAGUAAUGAAGGCAUAUAUUCUUGUAUGAAUGUAUUGGACACAAAAAAUAUGCAAUGGAGUGUACUUGCUGCUUCAGGCGAAUGGCCAUGUGCUCGACAUUCGCAUUCUAUGGUGUCAUAUGGUACAAAUCUAUUCAUGUUCGGAGGUCAUGAUGGCCAACGGGCGCUGAAGGACUUUUACAGUUUUGAUACAACAACACUUAGGUGGAACAAGGAAAACACAAAUGGGGGAUUUCCGUCACCUAGGUUUUCACACUGCAUGUUCAUCUACAAAAAUUAUCUUGGGAUACUUGGUGGCUGUCCUAUUACAGAAAACAACCAAGAAAUUUCAUUGCUGAACUUAAAGCAUCGAGUCUGGUUUCGUGUUUCCGUUCCAUUACUGAGCCAGUCCCUCUGUGUCCGUAGUUCAUCGGUUGUAAUUAAAGAUGAUCUUGUUAUUUUAGGUGGUGGUGCAUCUUGUUAUGCAUUUGGAACCAAAUUCAGUCAACCAAUAAUUCUUGAUCUGCAUUCAGUGGAGUCUAUGUUUCAAUAUGAUAGGAACAAAGAUGACACAGUUCAAAGUCGUGAUGCAAUAUCUGCUGCUGACUUGCCAAGAGAUGGGCAAAAUGGCAUCUUUGAUCAUGAUACAAAAUCACAAGAUGCUUGUUCUGGUGGUUUGAUGGAUUCAGGCCCUCUGGUUCUUCAACUGGAGAAGACGUAUGCCAAAUUAGCAAAAGACAUUCUGAAAAAGUUUGGAUGGUUGGAUCUUUCUAGAAAAGUUCGAGUGAGCCAUGAUAAUGGCCAUGUUCUUUUUCCUAUUAAAGAAGCUUUCCGAGUCCUAAAUGCUGAAGAGCAUAUCAAGAUGACACAUGAUGUUUCAUCUACCUUUGGGGAAUCAUUAUUGUUUACUGAAAAGAAACUUGUCGUAGACAACCUAUCUCUUAAGGAUGCAUUAAAUAUUUUGUCAUCUUGCAGUGGUUCCUUUAUGAAAGAUGAACUAGCCAUCAGCCGAAAGCCUUCCAAGUCUCCUCAAACCAUCAUGAAAGAACUUGUAUCUUCUCUACUGGAAAGUAAAGGGAUGCCCCCUCAGUUGUUGGAGCAGCUUCCAGCUAGGUUUGUUUCUCUGAUAAAAAUAUCUAUUGUCAUUACAACUAUGGUUGCUCUUGCUUGCUUAAUGUCAUUCUGAUGUAGGUGGGAGACACUUGGUGAUGUCGUCAUACUUCCGAAGACAUGUUUUAAGAAUCCAUUGUGGGAAUCAGUUAGCGAGGAACUUUGGCCACUAGUUGCCAAGUCACUUGGUGCACAACGUCUUGCACGCCAAGUUAGUACUGGAUGAACUCUUUAUUAGUGAACCUAUAACAUCUAUUUGGGCUGCUAUUUCUCUUGAAGUCAAUACCUUGUAUGUUCAUGUGGUCUCCCGUCCUCAAUUGAAUUUCCAUGUUAAGUAUUUUUAUUCUUACAAUUUGUGACUUGGCUUGUGGCAAGCAUUUGGUUACCCUACCAAGCAUUUGUUUCUGUUGGGGAGGCCCUUUUCAAUAUGAUUCAUUCAAUCUGUCCUUUUUUGGCAGGGUAAAAUCAUGCCAAAUGGUACAAGAGAUAGUACACUGGAACUUCUUCUGGGUGAUAAUGGAUGGGUUACCCAUUAUGAAAAUGGCAUCUGCUAUUCACUUGAUGCAACAAAAUGCAUGUUUUCUUCUGGUAAUCGUUCAGAGAAACUUCGCAUGGGACAGCUAAACUGCAGAGAUGAGGUGGUCGUGGAUUUGUUUGCUGGAAUUGGAUACUUUGUUCUUCCGUUUCUUGUGAAGUACAUUCUCUGAUAGCCCUUGGUCAAACACAGAGAUUCUGAUUUUAUUCGCCCCCCCAAAAAAUAUUGUUCUUAAUCUCGUACUCUUGCAGGGCUAAUGCCAAGCUAGUUUAUGCAUGUGAAUGGAAUCCACAUGCUCUGGAGGCUCUUCGGCGCAAUGUUAGUGACAACAGUGUGGAGGAUCGAUGCAUUAUACUUGAAGGAGAUAACCGGGUGACUGCACCCAAAGUGUGUACUGGCAAAUAUCAUCUUUUGGUCUAACACAUGAAUUACGAUGGCUGCUGAUCGUUAUUUCUUACUGGACUUGAAUCAGGGUGUUGCUGAUCGAGUCUGUCUUGGAUUGUUACCCUCAAGUGAAUGUAGCUGGGCCACUGCUGUUGAAGCUUUAAGGUGAUCUGUCUGCAUCACCACCUGAGUUGUUUCGGUUAUGAUAUUUCAUUCUAGGUUUCUUGUAGUGUUCAAAGAAGAUUUUAUAUAGAGAGGUCAACUGCUUAGGUAAGCUUUUGUCUUGGCCUCCUCUAGUUGGACACUCUGAGGUUCUUGUUUCUGUUGUACAAGUAGCUGCAUCCUUCAGUAAUUAUUAAUUAAGAUGAUUUCUUAGUAUUGUUUGAGUUGGUUUUACUAAGGAGUUUGGUUGUAUUAGGGAGUCAGUUUGGAAUGUGCCCAUCUUUUGAAAGUCGUGUGCAAAUCUUUUAGGGUUGAUUAGUUCAUAAUAAUAGGCUAGGUCAGAUUCCACAGGCAUGCACACACAUGCAUUAUACCCUGUUACGGUUAACCAUUACAAUUGUUAUUCUCAACCCUUCUAAUUUCUCUCUUCUACCCCUGUUCUCUUCUCUAAUCACCAACGACAUCCAGGGUUUCAUAUCCCUAUAACAUUAAUUGCAGAGGUGUACACGACAGCAGCAAAAUGUUGUUUCAGAAUAUUCUGAAUGUUCUUUUAAAACUGCUUAUCAACAUAUUGAUCUUAGUAGUGCUAGUCUGACAUCCCAAAGGAAAUCCUGCAAAGUCUUUUUUAGAGAAAAGGUUUCCCCCGCUUUAUUGAACCAACAAAGUGCAAUUGAGUUUACAUUUAGCAGAAUGUAUUGGAGGUGCACCUGCCAAAAUCUGGGAUGCUAAAGAUUCCCUGACUGAAGUUCAUUUCAUGCACAAAGAUCAUUGUAUUGCUAUCAUCCUCCCACUCAUGCUGAGGUAUCAUCUCUCUUGAUAUGGUCAAACUGGAGUUGCUGGAGACCGCCGUCCCAAUCCAUCCAUUUACAUGCUGCCAAAUUUGGUUUGUCUGACACACUGAAAAUGCCUGCACCAUGGUGGAGCACGUUGGGCUGCUUGGUGGAAUUUGUGGUCUCACUUGGAAACAAGUUCUCUAUAAUUUUUGAAUGUGAUGUUGGAAUUUUGUCAAUUUGCUGGAUCCACAACAAACCUCUGAUGUUAACAUUUUACUCUAUUACUAUGUGUAGGAUUGGCGGCGGCAUAUUGCAUAUACAUGGGAAUGUCAAUGACUCUGAUGAGACACGCUGGUUGGACAAUGUUGUUGAAUCCAUCAGUAAUAUCGCCAAAAACCAUGGUAAAAAAUGGUGUGCUUUUAUCUGUUGCGAUGCAUUUUUGCUCUCCAAGAGUUAAAAUUCCAUUUUUAUGCCAUUUGUGUCGCAGGACUAUCUUGGAACGUGUUAGUGGAGCACGUUGAACGUGUCAAAUGGUACGGGCCACAUAUUCGCCACCUUGUAGUUGAUGUUAGAUGCCGGCAAAUCUAACAAAGCAGACGCCACCUUGUAGUUGAUGUUAGAUGCCGGCAAAUCUAACAAAGCAGACGCCUUCAGAGAAUACUUGUGCAGUGCCAGGCCUGGGAUUCUUGGAUAGUUGGAUGCAUAUACAUUAUAGAAUGUAAUGUUCAACAGUUUGCUUCGGUUGUGUUUUGGUCCCAAGUGUAUUCCAUUGCUCCUAGUCAUCAUGGAGCCUCUGUUGUGACCUUGAAAGCAUGUUCAGGUUCUUGAUAACAAUUCGCUACUGCAUAGCUACAGUAAAGUUGUGUUCUUGUACCGAGUACUUUAUGUAUCUUUUUUCUUAUAUAAGAUAAUUUAUUGCGUUGUUUGAACAUUUUAUUACCAGCUUUUGCAUUGGCUGAUGGCACAGCACCCUAGGUAUUGGAUUGAUUCAGUGAUUAUGGACUUAUGGUGAAGCAGGAAAGUCAUCGGGAAGUAAAAAAAAAGUAAAACAAGGCCCAUUAUUUUUUUUGUGAAGGAAAACACGUUUGGGCCUUGUUUAGAUGUGAAAAUUUUUUGGAUUUCGUUACUGUAGCACUUUCGUUUGUUUGUGGUAAAUAUUGUCCAAUCAUAGACUAACUAGUGUCAAAAGAUUCGUCUCGCGAUUUACGGUCAAACUCUGUGAUUAGUUUUUGUUUUCGUCUAUAUUUAAUGAUUUAUGCAUGUGCUGUAAGAUUCGAUGUGACAGUGAAUAUUGAAAACUUUUUGGUUUUCAGGGUUAACUAAAUAAGGCCUGGUAUGUAUUGGCCGAAUAUCUGGGCACAUUAUAAGCAUUAACCGGACGUAUUUGCUGACCACAUUCCACGGUAAUAAAGUCAUCAAUUUUAAAACAAUGCAGAGGCUGCACAGAGUUUACUUGCACGGUGAAGUGGUGAACUGCUAAUGACCAUGGGAAGGGAAGGGGAGGGGGAGGUGAGAUAACGAUGUCAUAGUUUGACCGACAAGCGAGGUGCACCCGUUCUAUAUCCAAAAAACAGAUGGAUUUAUCACAUUUUACCUCGCUUUUUAACCAAAAUGGCCACAAGAGUCACGCACAAGAAAUACCAUGGAUUUAAUGUACCUGGAUUUCUCCUUUGAAGAAGUUCUUGUUGCAUACCAAACACCUCGGAACUCAAUGUUCUUAUUUCCCAAUACUAUGGUAGAAACUACAAUUCCCUUAAAACUAAAAAAACAUUCAAAUAGGCUCCUAGCGCACAAAAAUUAUAUAUAUUUGUAUCUUAUUUCAUGCUAUAUUGCCUUAUUAUACCUAGAAAUAAUAUAUUUUGCAGUAAUAUAGUCCAAUUUCUUUUUUGAAUAUAUAAUCAAAUGAGGUGAGAAAUUAGACCACUAAAGAAAUUUUAGUAGCAGAACUAGUAAGCAAUCUUGGUUACGUAAUUGAAAAUAGACCUUUUUCCUAUUACUAAUUACCCAACUGAAAACUAGAUUUUAACCGUACAAAGUGAGAGGCAAAAAUGCAGUUUUUAUUAGAUGUACUUACAUAAACAAACUUACAAAAGGAAGGGACGUUCAAGA